GGGCAAUUGGCGCAGUGGUAGCGCGUCCGCUUUGCAUCUUCUCGAUGUGCGGAAGGACUAGGGUUCGAUCCCCUAAUUGUCCA
rfam:Pseudocercospora fijiensis CIRAD86 unplaced genomic scaffold MYCFIscaffold_10, whole genome shotgun sequence.